CCUACGGGAGGCAGCAGUGAGGAAUAUUGGUCAAUGGCCGUAAGGCUGAACCAGCCAAGUAGCGUGAAUGAUGAAGGUCUUCGGAUUGUAAAGUUCUUUUCUAAGGGAAGAAGAAAGUGACGGUACCUUAGGAAUAAGCCUCGGCUAACUACGUGCCAGCAGCCGCGGUAAUACGUAGGAGGCAAGCGUUAUCCGGAAUGACUGGGCGUAAAGGGUGCGUAGGUGGUUUGAUAAGUUGGUAGCGUAACUCCGAGGCUCAACCUCGGCACUACUACCAAAACUGUCGGACUUGAGUGCAGGAGGGGCAACUGGAAUUCCUAGUGUAGCGGUGGAAUGCGUAGAUAUUAGGAGGAACACCAGUGGCGAAGGCGAGUUGCUGGACUGUAACUGACACUGAGGCACGAAAGCGUGGGGAGCAAACAGGAUUAGAUACCCCGGUAGUC
rnacentral:rRNA from 1 species